UCCUGCACUACAGAGUGAAAAGGAUUUCCUUGUUGAAAUGUCACCAUAACAAACACUCGCACACUAUGUAUUGUGGCUUUGUUGUAUUUUCUUUUAACCCUUGAAUGGCUUUUUGAUUUUUUUUAAAGGGUUCAAACAGGAGCUGCCCCCCAAAUUGAAAUCCAAACAUUGUUUUGAGGUCUAAAGAAGCUAGAAUACUGGUUUUAUCCCUUUGUUUUUCAUUCUCACAUGUCUCUCUAUCUAGCUUCAAUCAGAAAUAGCACAUUAUUAGAAGAAAAACUGUUCUCAUGGUGUUUGCAUCCUGCCUGGAACCACUGUACAUCUGAGAAGGAGGAAGCCUUUUCUUACGUGACUCCAGCAGAUGCAAAAGGUUUGGAGGCAACUUAGAUAAGGGUAUGAGAAAAAAGCUGCAACGUAAAAAAAACAACCAACUGGGAGGUUACUGAUUAAAAGCCAAGAAUACAAGACAGGAACAACUGUUAGGCUACGCAAUUGCUGAAGAUAAUUAAAGCAUCUGAAGCAAGCUGAGUUGAACAGCAAGUAAACAAAUGAACAGAACACUCCACCCUUCCUCUUAUUUGAACGCUGUGCAGUUAAUUGAGAAUGUGAUCGACCAGUCCUUCCCUUGCUGCCAGGGCAAACUCUUGUAAAUUUACGUCGCCAGUCUUCUACAGAGCAACAGCAGCACUUGCCCUUCCGCUUGCCGUUUGUUUGGACAGCCAGUGGCACUGCUCAGGGAGAAAGUAAGACAUAAUGGAUCUGAAUCUCACAUCUGCGUGGUAUGAGUGGGUGUUCUACUGCGUACACUGUUGUAUCGUGGGAGGACAGGGUAUCACUGCCAUUUUGGUUGCUGCAGUAACUCCACUAUGACACAAAAAAUCCCUUCCCAGUCAGUACACAAAGAGAAUAUGAAGAAGGUGAUUUGCAGUCCCUGCUAUAUCGUGCUGUUUGUUGUAAUAACAGGAUAAGUAACAGGCAGGAAAAGAUGGAGUUGAGGGUUUCCCCACCCCCGCGUCUAUUUAUCCCUCUUGACCCUUGAGCAUCACCUUUCAGGCAGCCAGCUCACAGCAUCUGUGAGCUGGAGUUCUUUGUUCCUUUUCCCUAGACCAAAAUUAUCCACCUUUUCAAAACACAAUUGGUGAGAUAUUUAAUUAGUGUAAAUCAGCAUGGAUCGAUUGACUUCAGUGCUCUGCAGAACUCUGGUGACUUGCACUGACUUCAAUAGAGCUAGCCAAUUUACACCAGCUGAGAAUCUGCUCCCAUAACACUAACUCUUUUAAACCUGUACAUGUAACCUCGGUUCUUCAUUCAGUUCUUCCUAAGGCACAACUCCAGUUGAAGUCCAUCAACUUUGCCCAAGUAAGGGCUGUUGUACACUAGAAAAUUCAAAGUCCAAAUUACAAACUCUUGGCAGAUGAGAUUCACCUAAGGAGAGUUCCGAGGAAACAAAAUGUCAUUGCUCUGUUGGACAGGAGCGGAGGGGGGGAGGGAGGAUGCGGGGAGGAGAAGGAAUCAUUGCAUUGGCUGAAAGUGUAAACUGUCUGCUAAGACUUUAUAUGAAGAACUGGUGUGGGGUGAAUCAGGCCUGAAGCACUGUCUUGUGCAAUAGCCAGUCAGCAGGAAGAACAUACUGUCAUUGCCCUGGGAACACCCUCAAGUAGCAUCUUACCCACUUCGCUACAGUUGGAACACACCCAAAGGAGCAGUGCACAUAGGGACCUAUGCACAUGUUGACUGUCUUCCCAUUUCAUUGUGCAGGCGGCAGCACAGGAACGCCGUCUGACUACUCUACAGGAUGUGGUGUACAUUGGAGUAAUAGUCAGGCUGAAGUGCUGCUGUCUUGACUACCUUUUCUAUUAAGAUAACAAAUAAAAAUGUUUUGAAGAACUGGAAAAUAUUGGAUCAGAAGAUUUGGCCUGUUUCUCAGCAAGUGGUUAUGUUCCCUUGAGUGUGAUUCACAGAACCCAAACUUCCUGCACUCGUCUCAUGGACUGUUAGCUGCAAACGUUUAGUCUUCCUUUAGUACAAGGACAAUUUCAGUUAAAUACAGAAUACUGACAAUACCAGUCAUAAUUGAUUACAAGAUUUCUUAGAUUUUCAGAGACAUUUUGAAAGCAUUGCAUGGGGGGAGUUUGAUCACAUGAUUACUAUUCCUAUCAAUGGUAAAUGACACCUAAAUAUCUCAUGGCCCUUGCACCUUAUAUCUCAGCUUUCAUGAGAAAAUGGAGGAACUUUGGGAAAGUCAGCAGCUGUCGGUAAAAUGGAACUAUUCUUCAGCAUAGUCUAUCCUGCUAGAUUACAUAAUGGGAAUAACAAAAUCACAUCAUGCUGUAUUUUUAGAAAUAGCAAGCACCUUUCACCACUUUUCUGUUAAAUUUUUAUAAAUUUCCAAUCAUAUACCUAUAGUAAAGUAAAGCAGGAAAGUGUUACAGGAGUUAGAAACAUUAGAAACUUCCAAGAAAAAAAGAACUCAACAAGAAGUCCACUAAAAUGAUGGGGUUUAAAUUAGCUGCUAACACUCAAGACAGAGACCUUGGAUUCAUUCAACAGAUGUUCUCAGAGAGCUAUCCACAAUGUGCAGCGGCAGUCAAAAAAGCUAACAGCAUGUUAGGAACCAUU